rnacentral:rRNA from 1 species
AAUGUAAUGCCUACAACAUUAAUGCAUUGGAUCCGAUUAGAACUUCGUAGGUAAGCAUGAUUUGUCUAGAGUAGUAUUUGGAUGGGUGACCUCGCAGGAAGUCCUAGUGUUUUACAUGC